GGAUUAGAUACCCUGGUAGUCCACGCAGUAAACGAUGAUUACUAGCUGUUUGCGAUACAAUGUAAGCGGCUGAGCGAAAGCGUUAAGUAAUCCACCUGGGGAGUACGUUCGCAAGAAUGAAACUCAAAGGAAUUGACGGGGGCCCGCACAAGCGGAGGAACAUGUGGUUUAAUUCGAUGAUACGCGAGGAACCUUACCCGGGCUUGAAAUGCAUCUGACCGGGCCGGAAACGGUCUUUCCCAGCGAUGGGCAGAUGUGUAGGUGCUGCAUGGUUGUCGUCAGCUCGUGCCGUGAGGUGUCGGCUUAAGUGCCAUAACGAGCGCAACCCUCAUCGUCAGUUACCAUCGGGUAAAGCCGGGGACUCUGACGAGACUGCCAUCGUAAGAUGCGAGGAAGGUGGGGAUGACGUCAAAUCAGCACGGCCCUUAUGUCCGGGGCGACACACGUGUUACAAUGGGCGGUACAGCGGGGAGCUACCUNACGACAGGGAGCCGAUCCCGAAAGCCGCUCACAGUUCGCCAAGGGGUCUGCAACUCGACUCCGUGAAGUCG
rnacentral:rRNA from 1 species